rnacentral:rRNA from 1 species
UACGUAGGGUGCGAGCGUUGUCCGGAAUUAUUGGGCGUAAAGAGCUCGUAGGCGGCUUGUCGCGUCGGAUGUGAAAGCCCGGGGCUUAACUCCGGGUCUGCAUUCGAUACGGGCAGGCUAGAGUUCGGUAGGGGAGAUCGGAAUUCCUGGUGUAGCGGUGAAAUGCGCAGAUAUCAAGAGGAACACCGGUGGCGAAGGCGGAUCUCUGGGCCGAUACUGACGCUGAGGAGCGAAAGCGUGGGGAGCGAACAGG